ACCACAACAUAGGAGUUCAUUAGAAGAUGAAACAUUUUGUGAUGAAAAAUACUAAAAUAAUUUUUAUUAAUUUAUAAUUUAUGUAUAAAUAUACAACCGUCAACAGGCUGACGAUUGGCUUUGGGAUACUAUUCCGAACAGGAAGGACUAAGACAUACAGAAUUGGGUUCGAUUGGUGAAUUGAAUCCAGAGCCAGUAGAGGCACCAU
rnacentral:lncRNA from 1 species